GCAAACUUGGUCAUUUAGAGGAAGUAAAAGUCGUAACAAGGUUUCCGUAGGUGAACCUGCGGAAGGAUCAUUAUUGAAUAACUUGCCUUGAUGGGUUGUAGCUGGCCUUUUGAGGCAUGUGCACGCCCGUCUUGACUCUAUUCAUCCACCUGUGCACCUUUUGUAGUUCUUUAUUCUGAGGUUCAAAGCUUGUAUUCAGUUGAGACACACUGGAUUUGAGGAUUGCCUUGGCUUUCUUCUACUUGGCCUGCCUCAGGAGGAACUAUGUACUUUAUCACAAACCAUGUAGUAUGUUGCCAGAAUGUAUUCAAUGGGCCUUCGUGCCUAUAAAACCAUAUACAACUUUCAGCAACGGAUCUCUUGGCUCUCGCAUCGAUGAAGAACGCAGC
rnacentral:misc_RNA from 1 species